rnacentral:rRNA from 1 species
UACGUAGGCAGCAAGCGUUGUUCGGAAUUACUGGGCGUAAAGAGUGUGUAGGCGGUGCUCUAAGUUCGGUGUGAAAUCGCCCGGCUCAACUGGGCGGGGUCGCGGGAAACGAUCGGGCUGGAGCUCGGCAGGGGGCCAUGGAAUUCCCGGUGUAGUGGUGGAAUGCGUAGAGAUGUGGAGGAACACCGAUGGCGAAGGCAGCCCCCUGGGCUGAGAUUGACGCUCAGGCACGAAAGCGUGGGGAGCAAACAGG